rnacentral:rRNA from 1 species
GACAGAGGUUGCAAACGUUGCUCGGAAUUACUGGGCAUAAAGCGCACGUAGGCGGUCCGUUAAGUCAUGUGUGAAAUCCCCCGGCUCAACCGGGGAAUUGCGCAUGAUACUGGCGGGCUAGAGAUCGAUAGGGGUGAGCGGAACUCCAGGUGGAGCGGUGAAAUGCGUAGAUAUCUGGAGGAACACCGGUGGCGAAAGCGGCUCACUGGAUCGAAACUGACGCUGAGGUGCGAAAGCUAGGGUAGCAAACGGG